GAGUGUACAGCUCAAUGGUAGUGCGUGUGCUUAGCAUGCACAAGGUCCUGGGUUCAAUCCCCAGUACCUGCA
rnacentral:tRNA from 1 species